GCACGAUAGCUUUAAUUUUACUUCAAUCUACUGCAAUGUCGAAUGGAAAUGGAAUUAAAAGGCAUUUCAGAGGUGUGCCUAAAACACCUGCUACCGUGCAAUCUGAUGAAGAAUCAAGUUCAAAUGAUUCGUCCACAGUUAUGGAAAAUGAUUCAUCAACCACU
rnacentral:misc_RNA from 1 species